UAGUAACGGCGAGUGAAGCGGCAGCAGCUCAAAUUUGAAAUCUGGCGCAAGCCCGAGUUGUAAUUUGUAGAGGAUGCUUCUGGGCAGCGGCCGGUCUAAGUUCCUUGGAACAGGACGUCACAGAGGGUGAGAAUCCCGUACGUGACCGGCGCGCACCCUCCACGUAGCUCCUUCGACGAGUCGAGUUGUUUGGGAAUGCAGCUCUAAAUGGGAGGUAAAUUUCUUCUAAAGCUAAAUACCGGCCAGAGACCGAUAGCGCACAAGUAGAGUGAUCGAAAGAUGAAAAGCACUUUGGAAAGAGAGUUAAAAAGCACGUGAAAUUGUUGAAAGGGAAGCGCUUGCAACCAGACUCCGCGGCGGUGUUCCGCCGGUCUUCUGACCGGUCUACUCGCCGCUGCGGGGCCAACAUCGUCUGGGGCCGCCGGAUAAGACCGUAGGAAUGUGGCUCCCUCGGGAGUGUUAUAGCCUGCGGUGAUGCGGUGCGUCUCGGGCGAGGUCCGCGCUUCGGCAAGGAUGUUGGCGUAAUGGUUGCUAGCGGCCCGUCUUGAAACACGGACCAAGGAGUCUAACAUCUAUGCGAGUGUUCGGGUGUCAAACCCCUACGCGUAAUGAAAGUGAACGGAGGUGGGAGCUUCGGCGCACCAUCGACCGAUCCUGAUGUCCUCGGAUGGAUUUGAGUAAGAGCAUAGCUGUUGGGACCCGAAAGAUGGUGAACUAUGCCUGAAUAGGGUGAAGCCAGAGGAAACUCUGGUGGAGGCUCGCAGCGGUUCUGACGUGCAAAUCGAUCGUCAAAUUUGGGUAUA
rnacentral:rRNA from 1 species